rnacentral:rRNA from 1 species
UACGUAGGGACCAAGCGUUGUUCGGAUUUACUGGGCGUAAAGGGCGCGUAGGCGGCAAUUCAAGUCAGCUGUGAAAUCUCCGGGCUUAACUCGGAACGGUCAGCUGAUACUGGAUGGCUUGGAUUUGGGAGAGGGAUGCGGAAUUCCAGGUGUAGCGGUGAAAUGCGUAGAUAUCUGGAGGAACACCGGUGGCGAAGGCGGCAUCCUGGACCAAUAUUGACGCUGAGGAGCGAAAGCCAGGGGAGCAAACGGG